rnacentral:rRNA from 1 species
GAGUUUGAACCUGGCUCAGGACGAACGCUGGCGGCGUGCCUAAUACAUGCAAGUCGAGCGGACCGACGGGAGCUUGCUCCCUUAGGUCAGCGGCGGACGGGUGAGUAACACGUGGGUAACCUGCCUGUAAGACUGGGAUAACUCCGGGAAACCGGGGCUAAUACCGGAUGCUUGAUUGAACCGCAUGGUUCAAUUAUAAAAGGUGGCUUUCAGCUACCACUUACAGAUGGAUCCGCGGCGCAUUAGCUAGUUGGUGAGGUAACGGCUCACCAAGGCAACGAUGCGUAGCCGACCUGAGAGGGUGAUCGGCCACACUGGGACUGAGACACGGCCCAGACUCCUACGGGAGGCAGCAGUAGGGAAUCUUUCGCAAUGGACGAAAGUCUGACGGGGCAACGCCGCGUGAGUGAUGAAGGUUUUCGGAUCGUAAAACUCUGUUGUUAGGGAAGAACAAGUACCGUUCGAAUAGGGCGGUACCUUGACGGUACCUAACCAGAAAGCCACGGCUAACUACGUGCCAGCAGCCGCGGUAAUACGUAGGUGGCAAGCGUUGUCCGGAAUUAUUGGGCGUAAAGCGCGCGCAGGCGGUUUCUUAAGUCUGAUGUGAAAGCCCCCGGCUCAACCGGGGAGGGUCAUUGGAAACUGGGGAACUUGAGUGCAGAAGA